rnacentral:rRNA from 1 species
CCUACGGGGGGCAGCAGUGGGGAAUAUUGGACAAUGGGGGGAACCCUGAUCCAGCCAUGCCGCGUGUGUGAAGAAGGCCCUCGGGUUGUAAAGCACUUUCAGUGAGGAAGAACGCCUGGUGGUUAAUACCCAUCAGGAAAGACAUCACUCACAGAAGAAGCACCGGCUAACUCCGUGCCAGCAGCCGCGGUAAUACGGAGGGUGCGAGCGUUAAUCGGAAUUACUGGGCGUAAAGCGCGCGUAGGUGGCUUGAUAAGCCGGUUGUGAAAGCCCCGGGCUCAACCUGGGAACGGCAUCCGGAACUGUCAAGCUAGAGUGCAGGGGAGGAAGGUAGAAUUCCCGGUGUAGCGGUGAAAUGCGUAGAGAUCGGGAGGAAUACCAGUGGCGAAGGCGGCCUUCUGGACUGACACUGACACUGAGGUGCGAAAGCGUGGGUAGCAAACAGGAUUAGAUACCCUUGUAGUC